UACGUAGGGAGCAAGCGUUGUCCGGAAUCAUUGGGCGUAAAGCGUGCGUAGGCGGCCUCGUAAGUCCGCUGUGAAAGUCAAAGGCUCAACCUUUGAAUGCCGGUGGAUACUGCGAGGCUAGAGUCCGGAAGAGGCGAGUGGAAUUCCUGGUGUAGCGGUGGAAUGCGCAGAUAUCAGGAGGAACACCAACGGCGAAGGCAGCUCGCUGGGACGGUACUGACGCUAAGGCGCGAAAGCGUGGGGAGCGAACAGGAUUAGAAA
rnacentral:rRNA from 1 species